GUGGAUUUUGUCCCCCAGGUCCACUGAAACAACAGGAGAAAGAGAUUUCCUCAUUGCCAGACUGAGCAUAAGGAACCAACCCUUUCUAAUAACAUAAUGAGAGAUCUGUAAAUAUACAAAAGGUCUGGUAUUCAAUUCCGUUUAAAUCAGGAUGCACCAGCCAGACCAGUUUACCUCCCCACUGGGUGUGGUUUACCUUGAAAAAGUCCACUAAUCAUGACUUUGCACAUUAUUCAGCUCAUCUCCAGACUGAAAGUUUACAGCUCUACAUCAACUACACGCCUAAACAAAUCAGCCGCAAGCCAUGGCUACAGUCACGAUUGAAUAUUGUGCUGGAUGAAGUUACGCGUACCGCUACCGGGAGCUAGCCCACAUGCUCGGGCGGGUUCCUGGCGUGCAGGUGACGGGAGCCAGAGGGAAACCAAACAGCUUUGAGGUGUCAGUGAAUGGAAAACUGAUCUUCUCCAAGCUUAAGACAGGACGUUUUCCCAUUCCUCAGCAGGUGUUUGAGACGGUGAACGAGAUGGUCCAUGGAAGAAAAUAAGGGAUGAAAACUACACAUCACUACAACAGUAACUUACCGAAGAUGUAGGAUGAAAUAACAACCUUAUUUACACCGCAGCAACAAUUGUUUGCUUUUCUGUGGCUCAGGCUGCAUUCACUCACCAAUCUGAAUACAAAACUGAUCUCAAACAUUGAAAUAUGACAUUAAAAAACAGAUUUGACCAUUGACCAAAUAGACCAUACUGCUGUGAAUGCAAAGACAAGACGAUGAUGACAGCAGCUGUUAGGAACCAGACUCUCAUCUGCCCUUCUGUCUAUGACUGCACACACUAAAACAUAUGUAAGUGUGUACACGAUGCAAGUUGAGAAGGCUUUGAGCCAGCUGGAGCCUGAGGAGGUGCUCUCAUCACGUCUAUCUGCUACGUGCUCAGGAAAAAAUGUCUCUACAAAUGAACGGAAAAUCAGAGCCACAUUUUUCUUAUUUUAUUUUUUAGCUUUUCUCUGUGUGGAUAACUCUAACAGUUUCAGAUCUGUAAAGGAAUAGUUUGACUUUUUUGGAAUUACUCUUAUUAACUUAAGAUUUAGCCAUGAGAAGAUCAGUUCAAAAGAUAGUUAGGUUAGCUCAUCAAAAAGAUCGCAAGUGCUGAAACAACAAAUCUGCCUACCAGGACCUUUAAAACUCACAGAUAAACGAGUUUUAUUUGAUGCGUACAAAAUACCCAAGUGUAAAAUAUGCUGUUUAACAGGACAUUAUGUGCUAGACUAUUUCUGGGAUCAGUAACUUCUUGGUGUCCCCGCUGUCCAGAUCAAGCAAUAGUCCGGGUCAUAACCCCCAGGAAAAUGGUGAAUUGUCAUUUUCACACUUAUUUUUAAAUCCAACAAAAAAGAUAAAACAUGUUGAUUAUUAAGCUUCAGAGGGGCUGGUUUGUGGGAUUUGUUCCCUUCAGACAGAGCCAGGGUAGUUGCUUCCCGUCUUUGUAAGUUAAGGCUAAGUUAAGCUAAGCUGACCAGUUGCUGGCUGUAUCUUCCUGUGUAGUGUGCAGAUGUGAAAAAGGUUUUGGUCUUUUCACCUAAGUCUUGUCAAGAAAGCAAAUAAGUGUAAUUCCAAAAAUGUCAAACUAUUGUUUCAGUCUUUUUGUGUUUAGGCAUAAUAUAUGUCGCUAUAAUUUCCUCUGUGAUUUGGAAACAAUCCUUCUUUAUCAAAUUUUUAAUGAACACCAAUGACAAACUUUUCCUGAAAUGUAAUAAAACAGAACUGAAAAAGAAAA